rnacentral:lncRNA from 1 species
AUGUUGUUCAGGGCUGGGGUGCUGCUCAGUGGUGGGAUGCUGCUCAGUGGUGGGGUUCUGCUCCAUGGUGGGAUGCUGCUCCUCCAUGGAAUGCUGCUCCAUGGUGGGACACAGCUCCAUGGUGGGAUGCUCCUUCAGGGUGGGGUUCUGUUCCAUGGUAGGAUGCUGUUCCUCCAUGGAAUGCUGCUCCUUGGUGGGAUAGAGCUCCACGGUGGGAUACAGCCUCAUGGGGGGCUGCUGCUUCUCCAUGGAAUGUUGCUCCUCCAUGGAAUGUUGCUCCUCCAUGGAAUGCUGCUCCAUGGUAGGACACAGCUCCAUGGUGGGAUGCUCCUUCAGGGUGGGGUUCUGCUCCAUGGUGGGAUGCUGCUCCUCCAUGGAAUGCUGCUCCAUGGUGGGAUGCUACUCCAAAAUGGAAUGCUGCUCCUCCAUGGAAGGCUGCUCCAUGGUAGGACACAGCUCCAUGGUGGGACACUGCUCCUCCAUGGAUUGCUGCUCCUUCAUGAAAUGCUGCUCCAUGGUGGGAUACAGUUCCAUGGUGGGAUACAGACUCAUGGGGGGCUUCUGCUCCUCCAUGGGAUGCUGCUUCUCCAUGAAAUGCUGCUCUCUGGUGGGAUACAGCUCCAUGGUGGGAUGCUGCUCCAAAAUGGGAUGCUGCUCCAUGGUGGGAUGCUGCUCCUCCAUGGAAUGCUGCUCCAUGGUGGGAUGCUGCUCCUCCAUGGGAUGCUGUCCCACCAUGGGAUUCUGCUCUCUGUUGGGAUGUUCCUGCCCCUUCCUGCCCCCACCUCCCCUCCCGUUCCCGCUGCCCCCUCCCCACGUUGGGAAGGGCCAGGGGAGCAGCCCUGGGAGCCAUGGGGGUGCCCCCCAUUCCCGGAGGUGCCUGAUUCCCUGUUUACACACAGCCUGGGCUCCGUGCCAGGCUGGGCAGUUAUUCCCAGGUCUCCUUCCUCUGCUCCCAGCUUUGGGGGGACACACACCACCUUUCUGGGCUCCUCCUCGAGUCCAUAUUUCUGUGGUUUGUCUCUCCUUUCUGCUGCUAAACACCUCCUGGCUCUCCCCUGCUCAUCUGUCCUCCUGGGAAACUUUGGGAAUCAUCCCUUUGGGAACCAUCACUUUGGGGAAUCAUAA